UGCAAACUUUCAAAAUGCGGAGGAUACCUGGAUCUAGUUAUUGUUUCCUUAUGUUUCUGGUUUUUUGUUUUUAGGAUGGUAGCCUUCCUUUUUUCUUUUUUUUUUCUAACGCACUCAGUUAUGCCAUCUGGUGGCCAAAUAAACUAGAACAUAUGCAAUCACACGGCCUGAGAGCGCCUUUGCAGCGAAAAUGUGAAUGUGGCCUUUUAAGAGGUAUUCCUUCCCCCUUUUGCUCUCCCCACCUUCCUGCCAUCUUCCCAUUAAAAUACAUCACCAGUGAGAAUUUCUCACAAUUUGGGGGCUCGUCCAGGAUCCUCUUGCCUGUGCAAGGUGGGGGCCCAAGCAGAGUGGGAAGACGCGUCCCGCCUGGCUUUGGGCGGCCCGCUCAGCCUGGGCGUCUCACCUUCACACGGAAGCCGAAGGGAGACCCGAGACUGUUGUGCGGAGACAGUGUGACCAACGCAGGGGAGAAAAUGCAGGCACUGUGGCAACCAGGCAACCUCGUGCACGAGCCAAGGCUGAAAGGACUCCUCACCCAGACUCCCCCGCUUGAGUUCUUCGCUCACUGCUUCCAGCCUAGAGAACCUGGUGUUAGUAAAAUCCUGGAAAGACUGACUCCAGCCCAGCUGGGAAGGCCCCUCCCAAGUGCUCCUGAUCGCGGAGACGGCAGUGAGGAUGGCUGAAAAGGGCUGGACUCAUUACACCAGAGUAAAGAAACUGACUGGGGGAUCUGGGGACAAAACAGACUUGGCAGGUGUCGCACAUGGCUAACCAACCCUUAAGACUGAAACUAAAAAGAACCUAAAAAUGUUAA